UACGUAGGGUGCGAGCGUUAAUCGGAAUUACUGGGCGUAAAGCGUGCGCAGGCGGUGAUGUAAGACAGGUGUGAAAUCCCCGGGCUUAACCUGGGAACUGCAUUUGUGACUGCAUCGCUGGAGUGCGGUAGAGGGGGAUGGAAUUCCGCGUGUAGCAGUGAAAUGCGUAGAUAUGCGGAGGAACACCGAUGGCGAAGGCAAUCCCCUGGGCCUGCACUGACGCUCAUGCACGAAAGCGUGGGGAGCAAACAGG
rnacentral:rRNA from 1 species